UGUUUCUUGAUUAUCUGACUGCUUCUUGUUUACAUUGGUUACUUGUUUCAAUGUUUUUGGCUUACGACAUUUCUACUUGUAGAUUCUUUUUAGGUUUUCUGAUUUUAAUUAAUUUGGGUAAUGAAAGCCCUAAAUUUGAUAUGUUUAGACUUUAGAAGUGCUUCCUAUUCCAUCCCACCAGCCAUGAAUUGACAAUUUGAUGAGGUAAAAUAAUUAAGCCAAUGGGUCUAUUUUAAUUUUGUCAUUUUCUGCACAGUUGCCCCCUUUAUCUUUAUGACUUUUCUCUAAAUUUCUCUUCAUCAUCAAAGUUUAUAUUUUCAGUAAAUUGUUUUUUACAUGCACUUGUAUGCAUAAAGUUAGGCAUGAAAUGAGCUUAUGAGCCUUAACAUGCCUGUUUUAGUGACUUGAAUGUCAUGCACAAGGAGAUUAAGCUUAUCGAUCACUUAGAUUGAUCUUCCACGUUUGUUUCCCUUGAACAUUUCAAUGGAAGACAAUCAAUUACGCUUCAAUGGACCGAAUCCUAUUUCUUUCCUUGAGAUGUUUCUCACCCAUAGUUGCUUCCGAAAAGGAUUCUAUAAAGAAAAACAAAAGUUCCCUUCGAUGUUAUAAUCAACAAAUCAAUAUAAGUACGUUGCUGUUUCUUGGAUUUCACCCAAGUAAUAUUAAGUUAUAAAUUUAUGUUACAUGUCACUGUUAUAAUUUGGUAUAUUUUUUAAAGAAAAGUGUUGUAAUAAGAAAAAAUGAAAGUAGAUUGUUAAUUAAAAAAAAUAAAAGACUUUUUUAAUAAAGCAAUUUAAAGGGUGUGAUUUGUGAACACUUACAUAUCCAGCAGCUACACCAUUAAAUUCUAUUCCAACCAUCACGAUUCUCAUGAUUCUCAAGAAAGGGGUGCCAUUGUAACAGCCCGGAUUCCCAGCAAGAAGAAGGUGGCAAGAGCAAGGAGGAGAUGAGAUUCCAGCAGAUCCAGAGUCCAGAGGCUUCAUUUUGAGGUACUUCCUCUUCUAAGGGAAAGGAGCCGUCAUGAUCGCAGUGCAUCACACUACAUUUUCCACAACAGAGAUCUUUGGGAUUUAUACUCUGAUGAUGUUUUAUCAUGACAUGUUUUGUUUAUUGAUACAUUAGCUUUUGACAUGAUUGAUACUAUGAUUGUUUUCAGACAAAUGAUUUUGUAAUUAUUAUAUUAAAAAUGAAAUUUUUGGCCUUGA